ACGAACGCUGGCGGCGUGCUUAACACAUGCAAGUCGAACGGAAAGGCCCUGCUUUUGUGGGGUGCUCGAGUGGCGAACGGGUGAGUAACACGUGAGUAACCUGCCCUUGACUUUGGGAUAACUUCAGGAAACUGGGGCUAAUACCGGAUAGGAGCUCCUGCUGCAUGGGGGGGGUUGGAAAGUUUCGGCGGUUGGGGAUGGACUCGCGGCUUAUCAGCUUGUUGGUGGGGUAGUGGCUUACCAAGGCUUUGACGGGUAGCCGGCCUGAGAGGGUGACCGGCCACAUGGGGACUGAGAUACGGCCCAGACUCCUACGGGAGGCAGCAGUGGGGAAUAUUGCACAAUGGGCGGAAGCCUGAUGCAGAAACGCCGCGUGCGGGAUGACGGCCUUCGGGUUGUAAACCGCUUUCGCCUGUGACGAAGCGUGAGUGACGGUAAUGGGUAAAGAAGAACCGGCUAACUACGU
rnacentral:rRNA from 1 species